GGUGCGAUAGCUCAGUUGGUAGAGCAAAGGACUGAAAAUCCUUGUGUCGGCGGUUCAAUUCCGCCUCGCACCA
rnacentral:tRNA from 1 species